GCACCCGUAGCUCAGCUGGAUAGAGCAUCUGAUUGCGGUUCAGAAGGCCAGAGGUUCGAAUCCUCUCGGGUGCGCCA
rnacentral:tRNA from 1 species